GAGGAUAUAGCUCAGUGGUAGAGUGCGUGCUUAGCAUGCAUGAGGUCCUGGGUUCAAUCCCCAGUACCUCCA
rnacentral:tRNA from 1 species